UUGCGUAUUACUGGCGAGACUCCAGCAGCAGCAGCAACAGCCGUAAGGCUCUCGAACGGAUCGUAUCGAGCCGAUCGGCGAAAGUGUGUCAACAUAUUUGUGUGCGAAAUGCAUUUCGCAAAUAUUUCAUAAUAUCCAUAAAGGCAUACCUCUUCAACUGUUUGCUUAUUGAUUUGAAAAAAUAUUACUGUGGGCAAACAGAGUGAAGCCCACCAAACGCACUCCUCUGCCCCACCCAGCGAUGAGAUUAACAAACAACAGAAAUGAUUAUCGAUGCUGCAAGCCUCAUUACAUCUAUUUACCCCUAGGCAGGGCAUACAAGAAUGGGAAAAUUUCGUGUAACAGAGGGCAGCACACUCUGCACCUCUGUCAUCUUGUGGUAAAAUCUCCAGAUAUGCUUGCUUUCAUCCGAAGAGAGCACUGUAUAUUAUUGCAGUUCAUUUUCUAUCCGCAAAGACGAAAGCACAGUGUCGACAUCUGAAAAAUUUAACAUUCAACAUUCGUGCUUGUGGAGCAAAUUAACAGAUUAGCAGACCAGAGAGCAGUUUCAAAUUGUUAAAAAUAUACAACAUUUACUGAUAUUUCAAAUUUCCAAUUUUUGAUCAACAACAACAACAAUAAUUCUAGAUGUUGCACGCUCCUUUUUGUCUAUUUACCACUAGGAUUGGCAAAAAUGAUUGAAAUAAUAUCGUGCAACAGAGGACAGCACACGCUGUAGCUCUGCCAUCUAACGUAAUUCAUAGGCAACUUUUAAUUAGUAGUAGGGACAUCUGCCGUCUGGAAUAAUUCUAAUGACCAAUAAUUCCAGAUACUCGCUUUCUACCGAAGAGGGCGCUGUAUAUUGUAGCCCAUUCUCUAACCGCGAAGCAAAUGUACAUUGUCCACAUCUGAUGGCUUCAUUUGUCUUGUGCAAGGCGUUCUGAAAUACAGGGUCUUUCAGACGAAACGCUCACAAAUUUGCAUAACUUACAAAAGUGAACCGAUUUUUAUUUUUGAAUAAAAAAAUGUAAAAAAAACAGUGGGUUAUAUCUAUGGUAUAACCGCAAGGAUGACGUAGGACUAUCGUUGAUUUAGAGAUCAUUUGUAUGAAGUUGAAUCUGAAUUCAUUCUGAAUGAAUGAAUAUUUGGAGAACUUCGAAA